rnacentral:tRNA from 1 species
UCGCGGGUGGUGAAAUGGUAUCACAGGGGUCUUUGGAACCCUUAUUUCAGGUUCGAGUCCUGGCCCGCGAG